ensembl:lncRNA
AUGCCGGAGUGAUGGCUGAGGAGGGAGCUCAGCAGACAGAAGAGGACACAUUUUCCACGCAUAAAACCGCUUUGGCCACCAAGCCAGUCGUCAAGCUAGAAUGAACAAAGAACUGCCAUCUGCUCUGCCCCUUAUAUAAGAAAAACACCACCAGAAAGAUGUCUCCAUUGCUAGGAGAUUCAACCUCUCCAGUAUUCUCAUUCGAAAGAUGUCUUGAAUCUAGAGUACUGUUUCUCAUGGAAUGCAUUCAACCAGGCUCUGGAGAUCUGGACGCUCAGGCUUGAGGCUUCUCACAAGCUCCUAAGCACCGAUGGUGCUUUGUUCUGUGGGAAGCAGGGAUCUGAAGCAUGGAACAACAGCUUCUAAAAUCACACACCAAGAGCUGUUUCUACAGCACUACUUUAAUAAGGAUUUUCCUUGGCAGGAAACCACCAGGAAACCGACAAAUCUAGUUUAAAGCCCAAAUCAAAUCAUUUGCUGGAGAGAAUCUCUUGUACUGAAUGGAAGCUUCACCCAUCAAUCAAAAGCUGAUUGGUCAAUGAGCUGAGGCAGGAAAUAGGAGGUUGGAGUUUCGACAGAGAGAGGAACUCUGGGAUAGAGUCACGUUGCAAGCAUUCAACCAGAACUCUGAGGAAGCCGGCCACGUGAAACUGAAGCUGUCUAUUCAUCUGUGAAAGAAGGGAAGAAAGUGACUACUCUUUAUCUGGGAGAAGAAAUGAAGUGCUGCUACUUACUCUUUGGGGAGUUUCCACGGAAGGACCAUUAGAAUGACAGUGUUGCAGAUGCAGGGAAACAUCUGUUUGCAGCUGCUGAUGGUUCAUGCCAAUAUUCAUAUCUGGUCCAAACGCUUCAGAAUCCGUGACUGUUCAGUGUUCAGCCUUAAAUGGGACAUCUUAUAUCCAUCUCUUUCAAGGCUCAGGAAACAUCUUGAAAGAAACUCUUGAGCUCGUUGGCAGGAUCCGUUGUCUACAGAGGCCCAUGGGUAAAGAGGAGCAUCAUGGUAGGCCUUGGUGCACAGAGAAAGCCUGCCGGAGUUGGGGAAUAACAAGAUGCAUAUGGAGGAAGGUUGGAGAUCUUUGUGAUCCACUGGGGAUGGAGGCAGAGAGGAGGGGCUGCUUUCCAGUGGUUUACUACAAAGUGGGGUGACACUGAGGGAUUGCAUUUGGAGGAGAGGUGGGUGGCAGUGGUGAAGAUCUGCAGUUAGGUUCCCUGCUUCCUUGGCUGGAAUGGCCUGCACAGCACAAGGCUUUCAUGGUCUGACCCCGUUCAGUUCUUAGGAUCUAGACUUAAGCAC